CUUCUAGAUGAGCAAGAGAUAGUACAAAAACGCACUUUCACAAAAUGGAUCAACUCUCAUCUGUCCAAGAGGAAACCCCCAAUGGUGGUGGAUGACCUUUUUGAAGACAUGAAAGAUGGUGUUAAACUGCUUGCUCUCCUGGAGGUCCUGUCCGGGCAGAAACUGCCCUGUGAGCAAGGACGCCGGAUGAAGCGAAUUCAUGCUGUGGCUAACAUCGGCACAGCACUCAAGUUCCUUGAAGGAA